rnacentral:rRNA from 1 species
GACGUAGGGCGCGAGCGUUGUCCGGAUUUAUUGGGCGUAAAGAGCUCGUAGGCGGCUUGUUGCGUCGACUGUGAAAACCCGCGGCUUAACUGCGGGCUUGCAGUUGAUACGGGCAGGCUAGAGUUCGGUAGGGGAGACUGGAAUUCCUGGUGUAGCGGUGAAAUGCGCAGAUAUCAGGAGGAACACCGGUGGCGAAGGCGGCUCACUGGCCCGAUACUGACGCUGAGGCACGAAAGCGUGGGGAGCAAACAGG